CGGUGAGUAACACGUAUCCAACCUGCCGUCUACUCUUGGACAGCCUUCUGAAAGGAAGAUUAAUACAAGAUGGCAUCAUGAGUCCGCAUGUUCACAUGAUUAAAGGUAUUCCGGUAGACGAUGGGGAUGCGUUCCAUUAGAUAGUAGGCGGGGUGACGGCCCACCUAGUCUUCGAUGGAUAGGGGUUCUGAGAGGAAGGUCCCCCACAUUGGAACUGAGACACGGUCCAA
rnacentral:rRNA from 1 species